rnacentral:tRNA from 1 species
GCCUGAGUGGCUCAGUUGGUUGAGCAUCUGACUUCAGCUCAGGUCAUGAUCUCAGGGUUUGUGUGUUCAAGCCCCACAUCGGGCU